rnacentral:rRNA from 1 species
AGUGAACGCUGGCGGUAGGCCUAACACAUGCAAGUCGAACGGCAGCACAGUAAGAGCUUGCUCUUACGGGUGGCGAGUGGCGGACGGGUGAGGAAUACAUCGGAAUCUACUUUUUCGUGGGGGAUAACGUAGGGAAACUUACGCUAAUACCGCAUACGACCUACGGUUGAAAGCAGGGGAUCUUCGGACCUUGCGCGAUUGAAUGAGCCGAUGUCGGAUUAGCUAGUUGGCGGGGUAAAGGCCCACCAAGGCGACGAUCCGUAGCUGGUCUGAGAGGAUGAUCGGCCACACUGGAACUGAGACACGGUCCAGACUCCUACGGGAGGCAGCAGUGGGGAAUAUUGGACAAUGGGCGCAAGCCUGAUCCAGCCAUACCGCGUGGGUGAAGAAGGCCUUCGGGUUGUAAAGCCCUUUUGUUGGGAAAGAAAAGCAGCAGGUUAAUACCCCGCUGUUCUGACGGUACCCAAAGAAUAAGCACCGGCUAACUUCGUG